ACGAUUGAAUUUGACAGUUGAAAUCGUACGUUUUUACUUGUCAAACGGCUAUUUCGGAUUGUGUAAGCCAAUGGAAAGCCAUCGGUUGGGCAUAGUUAGUUCAUUACGAUUAGAUCGUUAUUUUUAUACGAAGAGUGAAUGAUUUGUUAAGAUUUGACAGUUAUUUGCGAUUGUCUUCGAAUUGUGUAAAGUUUUAUGUUCAUGGCUUAUGUCAAAAACUUACGAUGGGUCUUGGUCUUGAGUCACCUUUGAUCGUAAAACGGACAAAUUGUGGAUGUCCAAAAUUCCAAAAUAAUAAUUUAUAUUUUAUUAAAUAUCUAAAAUUAAUAUUUUUUUCCUUUCUAAAUCUCUCAAUUCAGUCUCUCCGUCCACAGUUAGCAUUUUUAGGACGAAACUUUGAGAAGUGUUUUGUAAACAAUGAACUCUGUUAAAAGGAGAAAUAAUAUAUUCUUUGCAAUGAACCUAUAAAGUCAAAACAAUGAAGUUAAUUGAGUGCUAUUAAUCGAUUUAUAUAGGAUGCUGAGACUUGGACUCUGAGAGAAAGUGAGAAAAAGAAUGUACACGCUCUAGAAAUGAGUUGAAGAAGAAUGCUUGCAUAUCCUGGACACAGUCUCACUCCUCCAAGAACUGGGGAUCAAACAGCAUCUUUCUUCCAUCAUCCAAUGUCUUCACACACACUUUCUUUGAACGUACCAGAGAAAGAGACGAUAAGUCCAUAGAGCGACAUAAACUCACUACCUACGAUAUUUAAUACCAUACCAUGUUUUAGAUUUCUGCGACAUCUUGCAUGUUGUUGUAUCCAAUGUGUUGGGAUCUGUGUUCCAGGGCCUAUGUGUGUGGUUUAGUUAAGUUUGCUGGUUAUUAAGCAAAAAGGAAUCGAAUUUCAUUUUUAAAAUUAUGAUUAUGGCGAACGAACUCUUUCGUCAUCGCUCAUAGGAUAUUUGGAAUAUGCCCUAUAACUGCAGUCUCCAAUAUUGCAAAAAGCACCUGCAAUACAGUGGAAUAACAUAUUGGUGUGCUGAAGAAAAGAUGGCAAAGGCUUUUAGCUGAUAGGACAUUGUACUGAUGACCCUGUUAUCUGGUCAAAUCAUAAAUGUGUGUGUAUUAUCAAAAUAUUUGCAUAGAUUGUGAAAUGCUGAUGAUAUUUGAAAAUAAAAGAAUACUUACUUCGCUGAGUUUGUUUUUUGUAGUCUUUUCCAAAACUAAAGCUUUCAGUUUAACAUUUUACUAUUAAUAUUUUUUUUACCAUUACAAUAAUUAAAUAAAUUAUUCAAAAAAGUGUAGUUGUAAAAAAUACAUUUAUAAUACCUGUGUAUGUUCACCCCCCUGCAGUUUCACCCACAUAAUUCCUGUUCCCGUGGGAAGGAAUACAUGGCCUAUAAUACUCAAA